GAUGAACGCUGACAGAAUGCUUAACACAUGCAAGUCAACUGUGGAGUACGGGUGAGUAACGCGUACAGAUCUUGCCCACCGGAUAGGGCCAACAUUUGGAAACGAAUGCUAACCCCUGAUACUGUGAGAGAGCUUUGCGUCCCAUUAGCUAGUUGGUGAGGUAACGGAUCACCAAGGCGAUGAUGGGUUGCCGGCCUGAGAGGGUGAUCGGCCACAAGGGGAAUGAGACACGGCCCUUACUCCUACGGGAGGCAGGAGUGGGGAAGAUUGGACGAUGGACCAAAGUCUGAACCAGCAUUUCGGUGUGCACGAUGAAGUUUUCGGAAUGUAAAGAGCUUUCAGUUGCGAAGCGGUACCAACAGAAAAAGUGACGGCUAAAUACGUGCCAGCCGCCGCGGUAAUUC
rnacentral:rRNA from 1 species